CUAUCUAUCUAUCUAUCUAUCUAUCUAUCUAUUUAUUUUACAUGAGUGCUCUACCUGCAUAUACACUGCAUGCUAGAAGAGGACAUCAGAUCCCAGGAUAGAUGGGUGGGAGCCACCAUGUGGUUGCUGGGAAUUGAACUAAGGACCUCUGGAAGCACAGACAGUGCUCUUAACUGUUGAGCCCCGAAUUUGGGAUUUCUAAGCACAGCAGAAAGAGUGAAAAGGUCCUGUGCUUUCUUCAUGCUGAGGGCAGCCUCACUGCCCACUCUGCUGAGUGCUGAGGUUGAGUUUGUAGUUUCAGGUUGUCAUGGACCCUCUUAUUUCUAGCCAGAUUCCACACCUCUACUGAAGUUGCUGGUUUGUCUGUGCCAAUUUUCUGAGUUCAUUUUCUUUAUUGAAUUUUCAGGGGCUAUAAUACUCAAAAGCUGAACCUGUUUGAUCUUUUGCUGGUUCCCAACCAAAGGUCACCUUGUAUGUGGCUCCAGAAACAUUACGGGAGAGUGAGCUGAAAGGAAGUACUGGAGGAAGGGGUUAAUGUUGUGUGACUGAAAUACUCCCUUGUGAAGAUGAAGGAAGGCUCAUGAAAUGCCCAAGGAGUCUACAAGGUUCACAGUGCCCUCCCAGAGCUUAUGCAAGCAGUGAACAGUUAGUGCUAGGAAGAAGACCGCAAGGCGGGGUGUACUGAAGACUCUGGUGACGAAGCAUGUAUAAAUCAUCCCUGUAGAGCUGGCUUCUAGUUACUAUGCUCUCUGAGUCUUCUUUCUAUGUGCGUGUCAGUAGAGAACCCCAGUAAACGCAUCAAGGUAGACUGUGGUCUAUCUGGGGGAGAGAUGUUGGAUUCAUGUUUCCACAGAAGACGUCAAACAACAGGCGUAUCUUUGGCUCAAUGGAGCUCUGUCACUGAGGGACUGAGCUUCACAUGGUAUUCCCACCUGCCGAGGACUCCUGCUCAUCUCACAAUGACAAUUUUCCUUGUCCUGUUGUCCCUCUCUGCAUAUGUCAUCUGGCUCCCAGCAUCCUGAUUCCCUAUGUGCUAUGGAAGACAGAUCUGGCCUUGCCACAUGGAGAAAGCCGGUGCAAGCAAAGAAAGACAGACUUGUGGAGGCAAGUCCAGUGCCUUCCUG